ACAAAAACAUAAAAUGGAAGAACCGAGAAUUACUUCCUCUCAUCCUCUCGGUUGUUCUCUCUUUCUCUCCGAUGCUCUCUGUUCUCUCUUGCUCGCAAACAACAAACAAUAACAGGUUCUCGAUUUUCCUCUUCUCACAGUGAACAACAACGACGGCUCAGCUCUCUCUCGGUUGCUCUCCGCUCACAACAACAACGAAGCCCUCAAACAUCUCGCGGUUCUCUCUCUCGUUUUCUCUCUCGGCUAAACAACAAGGGAGCUCAUGUUUCACUUACUCAGUGAACAACAACAGCAGCGAUAACUUGUGUGUCAACCGAGUUUCACUUACUCAGUGAACAACAACAACGAUGAUGAACAAAAACAACAUAUUUUGCAGUAACAAUUAGUAGUAAUACCGAGUGUGAGAGCAGAAACGACUUACCUGCGGCGAGGAGACGUUCGCCGGAUUAUUGUUGAAGGCUUUUGAUGAAGGUGAUGCCAUAACACCUCUUUGGAUUGUGGGAGAACUUGAAGAUGGAACUUCAAGUUGUUGAAAGCUUGAAGAUGAAGAACUUCAAGUAAGGUAUGAAGAACCACUACCUUUUCACUCUUUCUCUCUUUUUUUUGUAGAAUAACACUUAGAAGUAUGAGAAUUCUAUGUGUUACUCUUGCCCUCUUUUUUUUCGUUUUUCUUUAUUUGUGUGUCUCUCCUCUAUUUAUAGAGGAAAAAGUGAGGGAUAAUUUUGGUCAUUUUUGCACCCAAGCUUAGUCCUUAAGCUCACUUAGUUACUAAGUUUUCAUCAUUGCAAAGAAUAUUCUUUCCAAAAUAAUCAUUGCCAAAGUUCCUUAGUUGUUAAACUUUCUUAAUGGCCAAGUAUCACAAUUUGUGCACAUGGAGGAAUAUGCACAUGGGAUGGAAAUAUCUUCAUAACUCUUGCAAGAAAGUUCCACGACAUAGCAUUGUUUUAUGUCAUACAUUGUAACUUCCAUGUGGUAGUUAUGACAUAAUAUAU